ensembl:lncRNA
CUUGAGUCCAGUGCCACCCCAGCCUUGGCAGUGGCACAUUCAGGUGGCAGCAGCACACGAGAUGCACUCAUAAAGUCAUUGUCCUCCUGGUUUGUGAUAGAGCUGAUUUCCACAGCUCCAGCUGCAAGGUCAAAUGUACUUUGUGCUUUUGCCCAGUGCAGGAUGAGACUGGAGAUAUGAGGGCAUGGCUGAGGCUGCCCGGCUGACCUGCUGGGCUGGAGCUGCUUGCAGAGGAGCACUGCCAAGGAAGGAAUCCCUUUGCAAGAGAAGAGCAGUGAUUAAUGUUGAUGCCAAUUGCUAGAGAGGCCAUGGAACACCUGCCACUGCUUUCCUCCCACCAGCCAGCAAAGGAGGAAGGUGACUCAGGGAGGUGGGUACUGUGAGUGUUGGCUUCGCUGCUCUUCAGUGGAUGCUUUGCAGGUCGUUAUUAUGGGGAUGGCGGUCCAUGUGGUCCAAUGGCUGUGCUACCUACAGCAGGGGCAGAAGCCCACUUGUGCAGCAGCACUCCAGAUCUGCCACGUUAGAAGCCCACAAAGACACAGCACCUUUCAGAAAAUGAGAGUUGUAAAGCCACAAGCGAGCAGCGUGAGCACCGUGCUCCUGAGGAAGAGAAACCUGUGUUUGGCUGUUGGUGCCUCUGGGAUGGAGGCUGGAGCCUGCCCUGAUGCAUCAAGGAAGAGUUCCCAUCCAGGCUGUGGGCAAUUGGGCACUGCCUUGGCCAGCGUGUGGCCCAACAUCAUGCUGCUGUGCCGAGGGAAUCGCUGCCCAGUGGUAACCAGAGGCAAAGAUAACUAGCUUAUUGUUAAGAGUUCUAGACCCACAUCUCCAGUUGCCAAUGCUUUUUCUCUCUUCUCCCUGCUCAUGGCAUCUGCCUGCUUUUUCAGGCUGUGGACACACGCACUGGGAUGGGCUUUUGGUGCAGAGGUCAGUGGAUGUAGGAAUGGAGGAGAGCCAUGCACGUAGGGCAGCUACCAGUGCUGUCUCCAUCCAGGGCAAAUUCCACUCUGGAGACCUACAGCAACAAUUCCCACCACCCCCGAGGCGCUGUCUCCUACGCUGACCAUGGGGCACCUCAGGAGAUGGCAGAACCAAGGACUGAUGUUUGGGGUUGCUUUUUUUUUUUACUAUUUUCUUCCUGACUCAUUUCCCCAACCAAUAACUUACUGCGCUCACAAGCGAAAUAAGAACAGCUCCAAUUCCUGCUGAUGUCUGUGAGCUUUGCACGUGGCUCCAAGAGAGGUGGGACUAUCGUAGAAUACCAAAGCAAGCGGAUUGCUGAGGGCUCAGGAAUGGCAGAAAUGCCCUCAUGCGUUCUGUUUGUGACACUGCUGCUAAUUGGAGUUGCUUAAUCACACAGAGAGGCAGCUUCAGAGUAGCUUUACACCAGUCCUUCAGAUGUUUCCCUUAUCUCUGAUUUUCUGUGGCCUGCUGGGCUUUUUCCUAGUUGGUUUUCUGUCACCUAGAAAUUGCUCAGAGUGUUUAUUCCUCAGGACAUUUGAGUUUUCUCCAUGAUUCAGCCACAGACUCCUUGCUUGCCUGUCAUAAGACAUUCAAUCUUUUCAUUUCUAAGGUCCCCAUCUGUAUAGAGAGGCCAGAAAUGAGAGAAAAACAGGCAUAGUAGGGCUAGCUACAUACAGAUCCUCAAGUGUUGAGGGGACAUGCAGUUUCUUAAAUGAAUUGGUCACAUGAUACCGUUUUGGGGGGGUUUAUUUUGGUUCUUUACUGGGUAAUUGAAGCUUCAUAGACAUUAGGAAUCUGAAAAAUGCAUAUCAGUUACUUAUGUACAAACAGCUUUCUCACAGCAAUCUGGGGUUCUCGUAGGGGAGAGAGCCCUUCUAUGAGCACUGCAGCAAACAACCACCUGUUUCCACAAGUGUAAUGAUUCCCACAGCUAGAAUGAAGAGUUGAUAUUCAGGAUAUACACACAGAUUUUCCAUCUCUACAUUGCAACAUUAGCUGCGAUGCCCACCAUCAAACCUUCUCCACCAAGAAACACACCUAUUUCUCUACAUUUCUAAGCUUUCCAAAUGACCACCCCCUUCUCCAUUUAAUAAGAUCUGCAUUCCUCUGGCUUAGCUUCUACUUUUGCGAUGGGCUUGGCACCCAAAGACAUGUGUUCAAGUAGUAGGAAGCCCAAGGAUGCAGGUGGAUGAACUUGGUCCUCUAGCUGCUAUCCAACAGGAGAUGCAUGGUCAUCAAACUCAGCCCCACAGCAAGUGAAAGGCUCCUGCUACAGUGAGGGGAUGUAAUUGGACCUUGUAAGCUCUGUGACAUGGGAACCAAUUACACAGAAAUCCAAGCUUUGGCAGGCAAGUCUGCACUCUGGCGCUAGCUGGUCUCCAGCAAACGGCUGCUGUACGCAUGGUAAAGGUUAAGACUCAGCUGAUGCAGAGUUGGCAGCUGCACUGAGUCCUUUGGCAUUAACAUGCCAUCUUGGGUAAGGAAGAACAAUAGAUAAGUGCCUUCUGGCAGCCCGCUUCCAUGCUCCCAUUCAGCCCGUGACAUGUUCUUUGGGGAAGCGUUACUUGAGAAAGCAAAAGAUAAAUCAGUGUAUGGUAGGAAAAUAGCAGGAAGCUUUGGCUCAAGGCAGGCAGCUGAGGGACAGCAGAGUCCAAGCUUAUCUGCCAGUUCAAUGAAAUGGCACGGUACUGUAUAUUAAGCAAGGGAAAAGAAAGUAGUGCUGGCAUGGUGAAGAGAGACUGAUGGAAAGAACUGGACUCAAGGAGGAAUGGGUGGUUCUUUCUUAUAUGUCCUUUCCUUAACUACAUGCAAUGCAGUCCAGUGAAGAUCAGAUCACUUUCCGCAACAGUGAGGGUUGAAGAUGGAUGGGCACGGCAGGUUGGUGCUGGAAGCCAAGUGAGCAGCUGGCUAAAGCCCGUAUAGUCAAGGGAGCUCAGUGCUGGCCACCCAGGGCCUGGCCAUGGAAUGACCCUCAAGCUCCUCUGCAGUGAUAAGAGCGUCACUUCCACACUGCUGCCCUCAUGCCAUAGAAUCAUAGAAUCGCCUGGGUUGAAAGGAACCACAAUGAUCAUCUCGUUUCAACCCCCCUGCUAUGUGCAGGGUUGCCAACCACCAGACCAGGCUGCCCAGAGCCACAUCCAGCCUGGUCUUGAAUGCCUCCACGGAUGGGGUCAUUGCAGAGAAGCUGCUUUUGAGGAAAUGGGAACACCACCAACACAAACUGCUCUGGUUUGAACUGUUAAUGGACUUUCAGACACCAUGAAAGGCAGAAGGGCAGUGUGCUUGUGGCGAAAACCAUUCUCUCCUUUCUCACAGUGAGAGGGAAAGGACAGCACUAAAGAAAUGUGAUUUUGUGUUUGAAGGAAACAAUCAACCUAUUUUUCUCUCUAUAAGGGAGCAAAAUGGCCAUAGCUGCAAAUUAAUCCAGCAGUCCACAUCAGAUCCAGGAAGAAAAUAAUUUUGUUUUGUUUUCAUCACACAUUUCAGCAAUUAAGGAUUAGAAAGCAUUGGUUUUAAAAGGGAAACACUGUAAGGUUUUAUGACCUUAUAGUUAAAACCAUAUGACUGUCUGUAAAGAUAGAAAUAAGGACAUUAAGAAACUUAUAACGAGAAGAACUUAGGACUCUAGUCUCCAGGACAGCCUAAGAAUUCUGGUUCUCCGAAACUCUGACGUGGCUAUUGAAGCCCAAGCUUUGCCUUUCGGUCCCCCUCUUGUUCCUUGCACACCUGGAGACCUGGCCUUUGCUCUUUGCCUCUGUGUCCUGAGCAAUUUUCAUACAUUUCUGGGCUACAGUCUCUCUCUGUUUCAUAUCAGAACCUAUCUCUUCCCUUCCAUAUCUACACUUCUAUAGCAUCUCUUUUUACUGGUAUUACUUACUCCUAAUAACUGUAAUUACAUUAUGGAUCCCUGUCAAGCUUCUAGGAACAAAGCUUGGAUGAAGAAUUCUAUACAAAAUAGACCUCUAUCACAGGAAAUUUGCACCAUGGCAAAGAGACAAGGAAGUUGUUUGAUCAUUACUUUUAUCUAGAACAAAUUGCACAUAAUAGCAUAAUAAUAUUUUCUACCAGAUUCUGUUUCUCAGACAAGCACAAUUUCUUUCUCUUUUUUUUUUUUUUUGGUAAAUUAAUCUGCAUUUAACUGAAUCAUCUAUGUACAUCUGAGUCCCCAAAAUGAGAUACUUAAAUGUGCAUUAAAAAAUAAACAAAUGAGUAAUUCACUGAAUGCAGUCCUUGUUUCACUGCCCUUGACAUAGCCCUAGAAACUCAAAACUUUCGUAUUGACUUAAGAUAAGUGCCAUAAGACCAUUAAACAAUCCAUUGUUCUUAUGGUACCCAAUAAUCUAGUCUUUUUAUUUAAAUAUGAUAGGAAGUAAUCCCAGAGCCAAUGAAAGCAUGGAACCAACUAGGUGUAACGUUCCACAAAUGCUAUAUUGCAUGGAAGAGUUCAGCUCCUUAUCUGGAAAACAGUUGGCUGUGACCCUAUUAAACAAUUAUAUAUUAUCAGUUUUACUUGGCAACAUUUAUGUGUCAAAAUGUGUCAUGGGUUUCACAGCUUAGUUCCAGAAAUAGACUGUGAUCUGGGUGACAUCAUACUUCUCAGUAAAACCCUUUUUUUCACUUUUCUUCCUUUCAUAACCACUUGUGUUCCCGGUAUUCCCAGCCCCACGCUGGGUGCGCUCAGGCCAGCAAGAUGGAACAAGCCCUUUCCACAAUUUGGCUCCAUGGCACUUCAAAUGGGUUGAACAGUUUACCAAAACAGUGCUGGUCACCUGGUGACAAACAGGAACCUUGGUGGCUCCUCUAUGGCAGAGCAGGAAAAACACGGGAGCUUUGGUGAAGACUGUUUAUAGCAAUAACCACUGCGCAAUGAAGAGACACCAAAGACUAUCAAUGAUUGAAUGGGGCUGGCGGUUCACUUUGUGAUGUAAAGGGAUAAGAAUGUGUUACUGGGAGGUGCAACUCCCGUAAACUCAAACAACGUCCAUGGAUGUGCUGCUCAGAGCGCUUGGCCCGAGGCACAGGGGACAUGUCGGAUGGUGAAAGAUUAGGAAAAGCUACAAGCAGGGAGAGCUGAAAGUCUCCUCUCAGAAGCUUAUUGGGAUAUUUAAACAGUAAGUGACUGGAUUCUUAAAUGCAAAGUGGGAGAAAGUGGCAUUGUGAAACUGCAUUGCAAAAUCCUAUUAAGUCAAAGUUGCAAACAGCUACGCAACUGUCUGUUGUGUCGGAGCAGGAAGCCUGGGCACCAUUUUAAUGAGUCAUGAUCAAACAUCAUGCUGUCAUCUCAAUUUUUUCUCAAGUGCAUAUCAGGAAACAGAAAUGAAUUCUAGAGUUUUUAGCAUUCAAAGAAGAAAGUGCAUAAAGUUUUCUGCUCUCUGUAUGCUAAUCCUUUUCUUCAAAAUAUUAAGGGUGCGAUAUAAUUAAAAAUGUAGAAGGAGUUACCAUAGUAAACUCGAGGUCUUCAUGAACUAACUCACAGACCACAGCAUUUUCCUUUAUUUUGAAGCAUAACUGCAUUUUACCUCGCAAAUGUAGACAAACAUCCUCCAGGUUGUAAGCUGAAGGAAAUACGUAAGAAAGGAAAACAAAUUAAAAGAAGACAUAUGAAAAGUUUUCUCAGAAUCACUCAAGAAAAUUAACUUGAAACAACUAACCUACAUGUGGGAACAGAGUACUUCUACCACAUUAAACUGCAGGGCAACAGAACUCAAGUUUUAGCUAUUCCGGUAUUUAUUUAAUUUACUUUGGAAAUGAAUUAAGCAAUGGCGAAGUUAAGGCAUUUUCAUCACAAGCUGAAGAAAAGCUAAAUAAUGUACCUCAAGGUUUUUGAGUUUCUUUUGGAAGCUCCUUUGAGGCUCUUCAUACAAACUGCUCUUCAGUGGUCAGUCAGCACCUGGAUAUGGAACGCUCCUGUCAGUUCCUAUAGCAGUUUGGAAGCAACAGUGGCUUUUUCUGCAACACUGAGAAGCCUAAAAUAAAGACAUAUUUAGGAAUUAAUUGUGUUUUCUCUUUCUUUACCAUUUCUUCUUUUUUUUUUUCUUCAAAAGACAGAAGCAAAAUAAGAAGGAGAGAAGGGUAAAAGGGUAAAAGCACAGUGGAACUACAGAACAAACAAGAUGGCAAAAUAACAAAACUAUUUUUUAAUAAGCUGGGAAUUUGCCUCAGUAUGCAGUUCUUGGAGGAGAGGCGGCUCUGCAAGCUGGCCAGGUUCCCCACCGCACACAUAUGGACACCUGGAAGGAGAGGCAAAAUGAGCUUUACUCUUGUGCAACCCGAAGGUUACAUUUCUGUGACAAGUCUAAGUACUUCUUAUUAAGGAAAGGUUGAAAGACUGCAGAAAUGAUAAACAUCAGUUUUCAGUGGUGCAGUGAUAAACAGGCAUCAAAUAGGGAUCUUUAUUCUCCCCACAAAGAAUAACUGCUUACACCGAUGGGCUACACUGCUGGAAAGCUGUGUUUGAGAGGGGAAUCCAACAGGAGAAAAUAGAAUAUACAGAGAAAAGCACUGGAGAUGUGGAGGGAGAGCAGAGGAAAAAAAUGCUAUAAAUAAAAGCUAUUUGAAUUGAACUGUUCUUGAUCUUUAAUGAAUGAUGUUUCCUAAAGGCAAGAGAGGAACAAGAACUGUGAUGAGGGAGACAAACAUCCUCUAAAGAUCCAGGAGGUAUUUCCCAGAGUCCCAGCCCUGAGGCUGAAUGGGGACAGGGCUGGACUUGCCCAAGGAAAAGCCCAAAGUGAAGGAGAAACACUAUAAAGUGCAAAGGAGAGGAGAGGCAUCGUACUCUCACUGGGGCUGAGCAAGGGGUAGAGGAGGAUCAGGCACUAAAUGUUGCUCAUGUGUCAACUUGUUCUUCUAAACAAAGCACCUUCAAUCUGUAAUGAUUUUAGUGGCCUUUCUAAACCCCAGUUCAUAGGUUGUUAAUUCUCUAGCAUGACUUCUGUUUUUA